ensembl:lncRNA
CACUUUUGUGAGGGUCAAACUGCAGCCCCCCACUUGAAAGGGCAGCUUGCUAAGAAGUGUAGACUGGAUUCCACUCAAUGACCAAGAUUCGGACUUCCUUGCUUUCUUGCUUUUAUUUUUAAAAUUGUCCAAGUCAAACCAGGUGAAAAACCUUGAAAUACAAACAUGAAUAUAAGGUCAAAGAAAUAUAACCCAAGAAACCAUAAUCAAUUCACAUACCCAACAUCACAUACUUAAUUUAUAAUCUACUGGAAAUUAACCCCAAAAUAAGUAGAAAGACAACCCAAAUUUAAAGUAUCCCAAUACUAAAUUAAAUACAUUUUUAAAACACUAUUUAAUGAUGAUUUUAACCUUUAAACUUCACCAGAUUUUAACUCCGCUGAAUACAC